rnacentral:ribozyme from 1 species
UUUUUUUUUUUUUUUUUUUUUUUUUUUUUUUUUUUUUCAU